AUUGAACGCUGGCGGCAUGCCUUACACAUGCAAGUCGAACGGCAGCACGGGUGCUUGCACCUGGUGGCGAGUGGCGAACGGGUGAGUAAUACAUCGGAACGUACCUUAUCGUGGGGGAUAACGCAGCGAAAGCUGUGCUAAUACCGCAUACGCCCUGAGGGGGAAAGCGGGGGAUCGCAAGACCUAGCCCGAUUAGAGCGGCUGAUGCCUGAUUAGCUUGUUGGUGGGGUAAAAGCCCACCAAGGCGACGAUCAGUAGCUGGUCUGAGAGGACGAUCAGCCACACUGGGACUGAGACACGGCCCAGACUCCUACGGGAGGCAGCAGUGGGGAAUUUUGGACAAUGGGGGCAACCCUGAUCCAGCAAUGCCGCGUGAGUGAAGAAGGCCUUCGGGUUGUAAAGCUCUUUUGUCAGGGAAGAAACACCGGCUCUAACACAGUCCGGGAAUGACGGUACCUGAAGAAUAAGCACCGGCUAACUACGUGCCAGCCGCCGCGGUAA
rnacentral:rRNA from 1 species